rnacentral:rRNA from 1 species
CGUGAAAUUGUUGAAAGGGAAGCGCUUGCAACCAGACUUGCACGCGGUUGAUCAUCCGGUGUUCUCACCGGUGCACUCGACCGUGUUCAGGCCAGCAUCGGUUCAGGUGGUGGGAUAAAGGCCUUGGGAAUGUAGCUUCUUUCGGGGAGUGUUAUAGCCCUCGGUGCAAUGCCGCCUACCUGGACCGAGGACCGCGCUUCGGCUAGGAUGCUGGCGUAAUGGUUGUAAGCGACCCGUCUUGAAACACGG